ACGAACGCUGGCGGCGUGCUUAACACAUGCAAGUCGAACGGUGAAGCGCCUUCCUUUUUGGUGGGUGUGGAUGAGUGGCGAACGGGUGAGUAACACGUGAGUAACCUGCCCCCUUCUUCUGGAUAACCGCAUGAAAGUGUGGCUAAUACGGGAUAUUCUGGGUCUGUCGCAUGAUGGGUCUGGGAAAGAUAUUGUUUCGGUGGGGGAUGGGCUCGCGGCCUAUCAGCUUGUUGGUGGGGUGAUGGCCUACCAAGGCGGUGACGGGUAGCCGGCCUGAGAGGGUGGACGGUCACACUGGGACUGAGACACGGCCCAGACUCCUACGGGAGGCAGCAGUGGGGAAUAUUGCACAAUGGGCGCAAGCCUGAUGCAGCGACGCCGCGUGAGGGAUGGAGGCCUUCGGGUUGUGAACCUCUUUCGCCAGUGAAGCAGGCCUGCCUCGUUUGUGGGCGGGUUGACGGUAGCUGGAUAAGAAGCGCCGGCUAACUACGUG
rnacentral:rRNA from 1 species